rnacentral:rRNA from 1 species
AUGACGGACAAUACCGGCAGAGAGGGAGAAGAGGCCCUGUUCGAGAUCAUACGCAGCCCUAACAGGCCAGAUGAUCUGAAUGAAGCAAAUGACGGCUCCCAAUAUCUGAACAAUUAUGGGGAGGGUGAUGAUAAGAUAUUCGAUCUCGACGACCGAGCUGAUGAAGUCAUGAACUAUGAUUAUGAUUAUGAUGACGCAGACAAUGAUUAUGAUGACGAAUACAAUGUUGAUCUUGAAAUAACAAAGACUACCGGCGAGCCCUCCAGAUCGAGCAAAUCUGCUUCUACAGACAGCAGGACAAAGCGCGGGCCGGGCAAAAAGUUGAAGGAGGGUGUAAAGUACAACAUCGAUUCCAUCAAAGCUAGUGGCGAACCCCUCACGCCUAAGAACAUUGCGAACAAGUUCGUUCGUCAGUGCGGAGUUCUUUUGAAGGACCAACUCCCGAUCUCCAUUCAAGAAUGGAAAGAGCCAAAAACUAAACGUCCAGAUGUUACUUGGGUCGACGACAGAGCAAAACAAAAGCUUUGGGAAUCUCUGAUGGAACAUUUCACCCUACCAGAUUAUUUCACUGAUGCAGAUGUGCAGAAAGUCAAGACGCUGCUCUUAAGAAGAUGGCAAUUGCAUUCAACACCCACAAGAAAAUUGUAUGGGCCAACUACCUCGCUGCAGAAAGGAAGACUCCAGAAUUCAAGGGAACACUGGAGAAGCAAAGAGAACACUGGCCCGCUUUCGUGA